AAAUAUUACCAACUGUAUGUAAAAUGAAUGACAGAUGCAAUACAAAAUCCUACCAACGAUUGGAACAUUUUACUACGAGGUAUUGUUAACUUUGACGAUUGUCAUUACUGGCAACCGCAAAGAAAAUGUAAACAUAGCAUUAUGAUAAUUGAGUUGAGCGGCACUACUUUUUGAUAUUGUUUUCCUCACAGAAGAAGGUCGAAUCACCCAGGACAGACGACUGUGAUCGGUGGUUUGAUCAAUUGGAUGUGUUCCGGAUUCGACAAGGCGAAGGUUCCGUUUCCAUUGCCCCAGCGGCUUCAACUCAAUUUUGCAACGGGGCGUAGAGCUGGCCUCAUUUAAUGCCGUCUGAGUUUCGUCAGUUUCGUGGUAUUUCACGAAUAUGUUCGACUGAGAAAAAAUUACAUGUUGGUCCUGGGAGAGAAUAAUGCCCAAUCGAUGCAGGAUCAGACGUCGGGCGCUGCAAUGGUCAUGGCCCAAGAUCCCAAAGCAGAAGCAUCAUAAAUUAACGAACACCGGAAUGCGUUGGCUGAUGUCGAAGCAGUUCAGUUCAUAAAUGUUGCUAAUAUCGCAUUUUAGAUAGUUUAGAGAGUUAAAUAAAUGACUAAAAUGUAUACUCAAUAAUGAUAAAAAAAAAUCAAUAACAAUACAUACAUGAAGGUUAGGUUAACAUAACAUGUAGUAGAUGUUAAAGCAACGUAGAACCGAAGGCUUUUACUGGGUUAUACUGGCCGAUUUGACAUUUGUUUACCAAUGUUAUCGUGUAAUAUUUACGAAUAGUUCGUUUUGAAAAAUCGACCAAUCGUUGGUUAUGUCUACCAAAAAAUCGUCAUAUAUACUAUUUUUUUCUGAGAUUGUA